GACGAACCGUGCAAACGUUGUUCGGAAUCACUGGGCUUAAAGGGCGCGUAGGCGGGCUGUCAAGUCUGGGGUGAAAUCCCACGGCUCAACCGUGGAACUGCCUCAGAUACUGACGGCCUCGAGGGAGGUAGGGGCGAGCGGAACUAAUGGUGGAGCGGUGAAAUGCGUUGAUAUCAUUAGGAACUCCGGUGGCGAAGGCGGCUCGCUGGAUCUCUUCUGACGCUGAGGCGCGAAAGCUAGGGGAGCAAACGGG
rnacentral:rRNA from 1 species